CGGGGCGUAGCUCAGCUUGGUUUAGAGCGCUGCGUUUGGGACGCAGAAGUCGGCAGUUCGAAUCUGCCCGCCCCGA
rnacentral:tRNA from 2 species